rnacentral:rRNA from 1 species
AUGACAAGCACUUUGAAAAGAGGGUGAAAAGAGCCUGAAACCGUCAUGGGGGAAGCGGAUUGCGUUGGACUGGUGGGUUGUUGUGUGUUCAGCCGUUUCGGUGCAUUGACGCAGCAACUUAUCCGCCGUGGGUUCUGGGUGGUCGAUUUUGGACCACUCGGGGCUGAGGGCUCCCUUUUAUAGGUGAGGACGGCGGAGCGACGACGCGAUACGACCCGUCUUGAAACACGGACCAAGGAGUCUAGCGCGGGUGCGAGUCAGAGGGUGCAAGCCCGUGGGCGAAGUGAAAGCGAGUGUAAAAACGAGCAGUUUGGGGCGGCAUAAGAUCGUUGAUCUCAAGACCGACCCUGAGCAGUUGCGCUGGGACCCGAAAGAUGGUGAACUAUGCCGGAGUAGGGCAAAGCCAGAGGAAACUCUGGUGGAGGCUCGUAGCGGUGCUGACGUGCAAAUCGCUCGUCGAACUUGGGUAUAGGGGCGAAAGACUAAUCGAACCAUCUAGUAGCUGGUUCCCUCCGAAGUUUCUCUCAGGAUAGCGGGCCGACAUGUGUUGUUUUGUGC